rnacentral:rRNA from 1 species
AGAGCGAACGCUGGCGGCAGGCCUAACACAUGCAAGUCGAGCGCCCGUAGCAAUACGGGAGCGGCAGACGGGAUAGUAACACGUGGGAACGCGCCCUUCGGUUCGGAAUAACUCAGGGAAACUUGAGCUAAUACCGGAUACGCCCUUACGGGGAAAGAUUUAUUGCCGAAGGAACGGCCCGCGUCCGAUUAGCUAGUUGGUGAGGUAAUGGCUCACCAAGGCGACGAUCGGUAGCUGGUCUGAGAGGAUGACCAGCAUCACUGGGACUGAGACACGGCCCAGACUCCUACGGGAGGCAGCAGUGGGGAAUAUUGGACAAUGGGGGCAACCCUGACCCAGCAAUGCCGCGUGAGUGAUGAAGGCCUUAGGGUUGUAAAGCUCUUUCGGCGGGGACGAUGAUGACGGUACCGCAGAAGAGCCCCGGCUAACUUCGUGCCAGCAGCCGC